GCUUGCCUUGUAUGCAUUUUACAGAGGAGCAGCAGGUCAACCACAGCAUCCAUCAUAAUUACUACAAGUGCCUGACUGGGAGAGGUGAGACAACGCCUGCUUCCAUUUCCUCCCCUCACUGUAACGUGAACACCGCGAACUCCUGAGUGAGACGAGGCUCAUAACGGUUCCUGUAUUUAGAGAGCUCUCAUGCCACCGUGUGGAGAGAGUGCCGCUGUGUACCCAGCAACAAAGCAAGAUCACAAUGUGCCAUGGGAGUCAGGGAGUCAUUUCGUAAGGCUGUGGCUCAGUUGGUAGAGUUGUCGUUCCGGUCGAGGGUUCGAUCCCCUGCAGCCACAUGUCCGAUGUGUCCUUGGGCAAGACCCUUAACCCCCGAAUUGCUCCCGCUGCCUCAUGGGCGGCAUUUGAAUGUAUGAAUGGAAUUAGUGACUUCUGAUGGACUCUCUGCAUAUCAGCCUCUACCGUGUGAACGGGUAAGUGUAACCUGUGGUGAGUGUUCUUACUUUGAGUAGUAAGCAGACUAGAAAAGCACUAUAAGCUCAAGUCCAUUGAUCAUUAACAUCCACGUAGUGUACCAUGCAAUAUUUAGCUGCUUAAUAACCUCUGAUCAUACAGUAUGGACUUGACCCUCUGCACUUUAUUGAACUUGCUACUGAAAUCCCUCGUGUAAUCAUGUGAUGCUUAAAAUGACGUAUUCUAUUUUUUUUAAUGGUUUUGUUUUAAUGUGCUUAAAAUGAAGGUUUUGUUACUGGUAUUGUUUUUUUAUGGUGUACAGUAAGGCAAAUUCGCUUGGGGCAAUAAAGGGUUUCAUUCAGUCAUUCGAGUCGCACUCUUCUUAUGCUAUACCUCAUUAUUCAUAUUGUUUACCAUCCUACCUACUGUAUUUCAUAUUGAUUUAUGUUAUAUAAACUGUAAUUUAACUUUUUAUUUGUACAUUCUUUAACUUCUACAUUGAAUAUUCCAGAUCAAACCGCAUUAAAUACUUCAUUAUUCUGUACUGCUCUACAUGUAUGUUUUAACAGAUCAUCAUCUUAUCUCUCACUUCCUCUUAAUGCACCUUUUACUAUAAUAAACCUAAUACCUCAUAUCAAACUGUAUGUCAUUCGUCGUCACUGCUGUUUCCACAACUAGCUGCCAAAUAAUCAUACCUGGUCACUUUAAUUUACCAAGGCAAGGCAAGUUUAUUUAUAUAGCACAUUUCAACAACAAGGCAGUUCAAAGUGCGUCACACAAGACAAAAGCAUCAUGACAGAGGAAAGAAAAGAAACAUUAAA